UAAUACGAAGGGUGCAAGCGUUAUCCGGAUUCAUUGGGUUUAAAGGGUGCGUAGGCGGGGCGAUAAGUCAGUGGUGAAAUCUUGCGGCUUAACCGUAAAAUUGCCAUUGAUACUGUCGUUCUUGAGUAGGCUCGACGUGGGCGGAAUGUGCCGUGUAGCGGUGAAAUGCUUAGAUAUGGCACAGAACACCGAUAGUGAAGACAGCUCACGAGGGCCAAACUGACGCUGAGGCACGAAAGCGUGGGGAUCGAACAGGAUUAGAUACCCUGGUAGUCCACGCCGUAAACGAUGAUCACUCGUUAUUGGCGAUAUACGGUCAGUAACCUAGCGAAAGCGUUAAGUGAUCCACCUGGGGAGUACGAUCGCAAGAUUG
rnacentral:rRNA from 1 species